AACAGAGGAUGUGGUGGGAAGUAUCUUCUUCCAUGGAUAUACAGCAUAAUGGUGAACCAUCGUCAUUACAUCAUGUCCCAAGAACCAAAGGAACAACAGCUGCUUACUACAUUGCAUAAGAUCAAUAAAGCUGCAGGAAAUGAAACUCAAACAAGGGUUCAUGAGCAAGAGACUGAUGAAAGUGAAGAUGAGGAGGAAGAUGUAGAAGAGCAUUUAUAUGUUGAGAAGGAUAAUGAAUCCGAAUUAAGCAGCGACGAUGGAAAUGAUGAAGGUAAUGACUUUUGCUGUGUUUCUUACAUGUUGGUUUGUGGAAUAUUAUGCUUUAUCUGAAUCUUGCCUAUUCUUUUACUUUCAGAUGAUACCUUGAUGGAAGAGAUAUAAUGAGUGAAGAAGAGAACAGAAGCUUUCACUCUUCUCAUGAUUUUGUCUAUUUGAAGUUGUUACUCAAACUUGUUUUAGUAAAACAUAACAUGACAAUUGCAUUCUUUCGAAUUGGGAAAAUCUAUCAGACCAACCAAGAAAAAAAAGAAUUAAGAAAAUCUAAAGAUUACAAAAUAACUCUAUAUAUUAUCUCAGAAGUCACAUCCCAUGCAAUAUAAAGAUUGUGACAAUAAUUUAUUAAUACAAUUCCCUGUAAAUUUUAUCCACAUAAAUAACACAAGAACAAGGGAGUUCAAAGGCUUGCAUCAGCGUUAGAACCACCACCUCCUCCUCUCUUGUUUCCUGUUGUGUUCUUAAGAAUCUGCAUUCACCAAAAAAACAACACAAAGCCAUUAUGACCAUACAUAUACAAAAGAAUCUAACUUUUUGCAUUCUCAUCUUCUCCACCACUUUAAAAUAAAACCACGGACAUAUAACCAAGCUUCAGUAUAGAUAAUCACAGUGAAUGAGAGCAUUCCAAGAACCAUUGAAGAAUCUACAUACAUUUAGUCUUUUAAUUUACUAAUCUAUCUGAUAGAUAGAUCUCAAGGCUUCAAGCAUUGACAUUGGCAGAUUAAUGUCAAGGGUGAGAUAAAGACGAUGUUUGAUCAAGGAAUAGACAUAAUUUCUGGAGUAUUUGCAUCAUAUCCCAAAACAUAACUUCAUAAUUAGGGGGAAAACUAAACAAACCGCUCACACAAGUUUUUUGGUUUUUCACCCAAUUAACUUUAAUUUCAUUGAAUGAUAUGAAAGAGAAGAGAGAGUAGACCAAACUGAGAGAUAGAAGUGGGGGUAGGCGUUCGGGUACCCAUUCGGGUUCGGUUCGGGUCUAUUCGGGUUUUGGAUUUUCGGAUUUAAAGAUUUCAGUUUUAUGCAGAUAUUUCUAAAUUUCGGUUCGGGUUCGGUUUGGAUCCUUGCGGAUUCGGUUCGAGUUCGGAUAACCCAUUUAAAUUAUUUUAAAUUAUUAUAUACUUUCUUAAAAUCUAUUAAAAAAUAAUAUAUUACAUAUAAAUUUGAAUAGCAUUUGUUAAAGUACAUAAAAUUAACAUAUAAACUGAUUAGGUUUGAAUAUUUGGACUGUGAUUCAAUAGAUAUUUUAAGUAUUUUUAAUGUUUUGAGUAUAGUUUAGUUAUUUUAGACAUAAACUUUUGAAAAUUUGUAUAUAUUUUCAAGUAUUCUGGAAAAUUUAAUAGUAUUUUAUAUAUUUUGAGAGUUUUUAAUAUACAUUAAAUCUAAAAAUAAUUAAUAUAUAUAUGUAUAUAAAUCUAUUUUAGAUAUAAUCUGAUACCCAAUAUAUUUUUGGUUCAGAUCAGAUUCGGUUUCGGUUUUCUAAAUACCAAAAUUUUAAAUUCAUUCAGAUAUUUUUCGGAUCGGAUUCGGUUCGGUUUUUUGGUUCCGGAUUUUUUGCGCAGCCCUAGAUAGAAGUAUACUCAACUGCAUAAAUAUUUGGUUUGGAUAGCAUAGGUUUCUGUUUAAAGUAUAGAAUCGCCUAGGUUAAUUUCCUCCACAAUUUUUCUUAAUUAAUAAUAAGAUUUUUUUUAGACAAAAAAAUGGUAACUAUGUCCAUUUAGGCUAAUUUCUAUUUUGUAUCAUUUUUGCCUCUAAUGCCUUUUUGUAUUUCCAAAAAUAAACUAAAUAUAUAGUUUUAUAACCUAAUUUUUUUUUUGAAAAAUAGUAACUAUUUAUGAAAUACCUAUUACUUAUAUUUUUUUCUAGUUUUAAAAACAUUUAAAUAAUAAUUUCAUAUUAUAUUCUGCAUAAAGUAAAAUUGACAAUCUACAAAGUAGAACAUGAAUUUUACUUUUUUCAUUGAAUCUACUAUGUUUAGAAUACAUUAUCUACAAAAAUAAUAGUAUUCUAAUUAUUUUAGAAUACACAUUCUACACUUAACCUAUCACUAUAAAAUUUGUAGAAAUCAAAAUCCACAGAUUACUAUAAAUCUAAAAGCUGUAGAAAUCGAUUUCUACAGAUUUACUAAGAAUCUUAAACUUGUAGAAAUCAAAAGCUAAACAUUGCUAUAAAUCUAAAAGUCAGUAUAAACCGAGUUCUACAAAUUUAUUGAGUUCUACGGAUAAAUAUAAUUAGUUCCUAAAAAUAAGAAAAAAAAUAUUUGGAAAUAUUUUGUUUCUUUAUAUGAAAAAAUUAAAAUUCUAAAAAGAGAAACGAUUUUUUUUUUUAAAAAAAAAACAAAAUUUAGAAAAACAAAUUAAAAAAAAAGAAAAUUUUAAAAAUCGAAAUUAUAUUUUGUUAAUGUUAAUUAUUAUUUUAAAGUUAAAUUUCAGAAUAACAUACUUUUUGAAUAACUUACAUGGAAUUUUUUGUUUAUUUUAAAAUUAUUUAAUUAUUCAAUUUAAGAUUAUGGUGUUACAGAUUGUUUAAUUAUAUAUACAAUUUAAUUUAAAAAUUUUGGUAUUAUUAAAUACAAUUAUAUGUUUUUUGUUGAUAGUAUAUUAUAGUUAUAAUUAAUUGAAUAUUAUAAUUAAAUAUUGUAACAUUUUGUACAAAACUUAUUAUUUGAAAUAAGCAAAUAAAUUAACAUAUUAGAAUAGUAAGAAAACAUAAACAUAGUUUUUUAUAAUUUUCAUUAAUAUGGAAAAAAUAUUUGGAAAUAUUCUUUUUCUUUUUAUGUAAAAAUCAAAAUUGAAAAGAAAAACAAUUUUAUUUAUAAAAAUUAUUUUUUUAAAAAGGAAAUUAGAAAAAAACAAUUUUCUUAAAAAAAUAAAAAUUGUAUUUUGUUAAUUUUAAUUAUGAAUUUAAAAUUAAAAAUUUAAGGGUAGUAUUGUCAUUUUGAAAAUAAUUAGUAUAAUGGGACAUGAAAUAUAUGAGAUAGUUUAAUGAGACAUAGUUACACUUUUUUGGUCUAAAAAAACUAUUUUCUCAUUAAUCUAUUGUUAAAGAUAAUAUAGAUGAUGGUUAUUUUUUUUGUCAAGAGAUAAUGAUUAUCUAUUUGAAGAGAUAAUGUCUAUCACGGUUUUUCUUUUUCCUUUGAAUAAGUAAAAUAAACUGAUUUUGAUGGGCAAUAAAUAGCUCGUUCUCUUUCUCAUUUUGUAUGACUGAAACAAAAAGAAAAUCUUUAUAUAUAAAUUUAGCUUUUUCUCUUCUUACGACAAGUGACAAGGGAUUUUAUAACAUGUGUCCUCUAAAAUAAAAAAUAAUCCUUAAAAAUAAAUAUAAAACAUCAUUCGUCACACAUUUUUUCAAUAAAAAUUAAAUUAAUAUAAAAAUAUCAAAACAUCAUCUAUUUUGAAACAUCAAAACAUUUCUAAAACAUCAUUUAUUUUGUAACAGAGGGAGUAAAAUAUAAGACAAAGCAUUCCCCCGAGCUCAAAUGAGCGUGAUCAAGCACCAACCCAAAAAACCCAAAAAAGUCAUAGAAAGAAUAAUCACCAAGAGACCAGAGUCACCACGAAACAAGAAGACACAUGCCUCAAGCACCAGAAUCACAACCACCAGCUAAAAGGUAAAAAGCACCUCACAAACUAAACAGGCACAUACAAGACAUUCAUGCAAGCGAAAAACCACAAAGCUCUAAAUAGAAGAGAGCAAAGCUCCAAAGACUAACUCCGCACACCUACACCAAAGGAAGCAAGAGAAGAAAAGAAACAACCUGAGGGAGGGGGAAUGGAAGCCUACUACAAAAAAACAAGAGUUCAAAAUUUAGACUAGAAAUAACCUUCUAAGCACACAAAGCAUACAGAGAAGAAAGCACUAUCCAAACCUGGAGUAGCAAAUAUGGUGAAAAAGAGCCACCAGAUACGCGAGCAGCAAUGAAAUGUGCAAAAAGAUUAGAGAUUAAAGAUAGAAAAGGAGACGGAAAAAAAUCAGCAAACCGCGGAACCAUCCUCGAGCUAUGAAAAGGAGCAUAGAAGUUAGAUCACCAAAAACCAAAUCUUGAAAACUAAGACGAGCAGAGACUAUCGACGGCAAGUCAAUGAGAGGAAGACAACAUCAAAGACAACUGAACUCUGACCCAAUCCAACGAGAUGUAGUUCCUAACAUUAGCAAAAAUCUAAAAAAGAAGAGGACCAAUAUUGACCAAAACAACCUACAACACAGUGAAAAACAACUGCACAAUUGGGAACUCAUAAGCAUGAUCUAUAACAAAUACCAGAUAAUAUCACAUGAGAUGAAUGUGAGGAAAAACACGAACACAAAGUUGAGUCUUUUCUCAGUGAUGACGAGAAGCACUGUACACCGGAAAGGUAAGCGAAUUACAUAGAUGCUGACGGCUCAAGGUCAAAAUAUAGAAAACGGGCAAAAAAUAUUUUAAAAGAGUAAUGUUUAAAAAUGUGACAAAUUAAAAUACAAUUCUGGCGCUAAAACCAUCAAUCUUAAAAUCAACAAAUAUGUGAAUGCAAAGUUAUUAAAAUUCAAUAUAAUUUACGUUAGAAGCUCACUUAACCAAUAACAAGUAUUAUUAUACACACAACAACACAUUAAUGAAAAACAAACACAUAAUAUAUUAACAUAUUACUAAAUACUACAUAACACAAUAAAAUAUCAAAUAAUGCUCUUUAUAGAUAAGAUUGACCACAUAAUUAUAUCAUCCAAAAAAUCAUAUCUACCGACAAUAAAUCAAUACGCGCUGACACCCUUCUAGUACUUAUAUACUCUUCCCUUGACUUUUGUUAAACAUAACUCUCUGUAAAUGCAUUAAAUUACAAAAACAAUUUAUUUGUCAUUUUUAUUCUUUCGAGCUAAUGCAUAUGCAUUAAAUUUUCAAAACAAGCUCAACAAAAAUAAAAUCAAUUUAAUUAUUUCUGAUACUCCGUUUUGAUAUCUGUUAUGCCAUGUUCGAGAUUGCGCUAUGCGUGAGUCGGACGGUCGGUCUACGCCUAGCGAGUUGUCAACUAAUCGGAGUUUAAUCGGAGAGUAUUCGGGGAGUGGUUUUUGUAUUUUUUUAAUUAUAAAUAUACGGAUAUAUACUAGCAUAAGUGAAAAUGAGACAAAGAUGCAUAAUAGUCUAGUGGUUUGAAUUUGCAGAUGUUUGAUCAAGGAAUAGACAUAAUUUCUGGAGUAUUUGCAUCAUAUCCCAAAACAUAACUUCAUAAUUAGGGGGAAAACUAAACAAACCGCUCACACAAGUUUUUUGGUUUUUCACCCAAUUAACUUUAAUUUCAUUGAAUGAUAUGAAAGAGAAGAGAGAGUAGACCAAACUGAGAGAUAGAAGUGGCGGUGUCCGUUCGGGUUUUGGUUCGGGUCUAUUCGGGUUUUGGAUUUUCGGAUUUAAAGAUUUCAGUUUUAUUCAGAUAUUUCUAAAUUUCGGUUCGGGUUCGGUUCGGAUUCUUGCGGGUUCGGUUCGGGUUCGGAUAACCCAUUUAAAUUAUUUUAAAUUAUUAUAUACUUUAAAUUUCUCAAAAUCUAUAAAAAAAUAAUAUAUUACAUAUAAAUUUUAAUAGCAUUUGUUAAAGUACAUAAAAUUAACAUAUAAACUGAUUAGGUUUGAAUAUUUGACUCUGAUUCAAUAGAUAUUUUAAGUAUUUUUGAUGUUUUGAGUAUAGUUUAGUUAUUUUAUACAUAAACUUUUGAGAAUUUGUAUAUAUUUUCAAGUAUUUUGGAAAAUUUAAAAGUAUUUUAUAUAUUUUGAGAGUUUUUAAAAUACAUUAAAUCUAAAAAUAAUUAAUAUAUAUAUAUGUAUAUAAAUCUAUUUCAGAUAUAAUCUGAUACCCAACAUAUUUUUGGUUCGGAUCAGAUUCGGUUUCGGUUUUCUAAAUACCAAAAUUUUAAAUUCAUUCAUAUAUUUUUCGGAUCGGAUUCGGUUCGGUUUUUUGGUUCCGGAUUUUUUGCACAGCCCUAGAUAGAAGUAUACUCAACUGCGUAAAUAUUUGGUUUGGAUAGCAUAGGUUUCUGUUUAAAGUAUAGAGUCGCCUAGGUUAAUUUCCUCCACAAUUUUUCUUAAUUAAUAAUAAGAUAUUUUUUAGAUAAAAAAAUGGUAACUAUGUCCAUUUAGCCUAAUAUCUAUUUUGUAUCAUUUUUGCCUCUAAUGCCUUUUUGUAUUUCGAAAAAUAAACUAAAUAUAUAGUUUUAUAACCUAAUUUUUUUUUUUGAAAAAUAGUAACUAUUUAUGAAAUACCUAUAUGAAUUUACUUAUAUUUUUUUCUAGUUUUAAAAACGUUUAAAUAAUAAUUUCAUAUUAUAUUCUGCAUAAAGUAGAAUUGACAAUCUACAAAGUAGAACAUGAAUUUCACUUUUUUUCAUUGAAUCUACUAUGUUUAGAAUACAUUAUCUACAAAAAUAAUAGUAUUCUAAUUAUUUUAGAAUACACAUUCUACACUUAACCUAUCACUAUAAAAUUUGUAGAAAUCAAAAUCCACAGAUUACUAUAAAUCUAAAAGAUGUAGAAAUCGAUUUCUACAGAUUUACUAAGAAUCUUAAACUUGUAGAAAUCAAAAGCUAAACAUUGCUAUAAAUCUAAAAGUCAGUAUAAACCGAGUUCUACAAAUUUAUUGAGUUCUACGGAUAAAUAUAAUUAGUUCCUAAAAAUAAGGAAAAAAAUAUUUGGAAAUAUUUUGUUUCCUUAUAUGAAAAAAUUAAAA